ACUUAAAUAGUUUAUUUAAAAUUUUGGUUUGUGGAACCAAAAAUAUACAUUGUAUGUAUUUUAGGUA
rnacentral:tRNA from 1 species